UGGACCUUUCUCUGGAAUGUUGUGUUUUUUGUAAAGUCACGUGUGUGUUUUCUGGGGCUUGGGUGAUCGUGUAAGGGGAAGUGCGGUGACAGUAGCAUCCUGCUGUGGGGCAGUCCCCCACAUGCCUAGGGGAGGGCCCUAGAAACCUGCUUGGGUGAAGGGCUCCCCGGGGCAUCUCCCUUCCGAGCUCUGGGGUGUCAGUGCAAGUACCGUUGUGAUGGAGACCGGUCCCGCCUCUCAACCUGUCUAGCACUGUGACCCCAUCUCAGACUCCACGUCUUCAUCUGAAGAGCAAAGCUGGGAUAGCAGCAAAAGUUCUAAAAAAUUUUUCAUGGUGUUGCCAUGACCACAUGAUCCUGAUCUUUUCAGCCCGAAAGCAUUUGCAGUUUUUUAUGCUGGAAGUGUCUUGACUCCCCCUGGCAGAGAGGUUUUGUGGGGUCUUGGCAGGACACGACAGAAACUGCUGGGACUCGGCUAGGCUGGGCUGCUCUCCCUGACCCAGGCCCCUGGCUCCAGCCUCCUGUCCUUCCUGGCUCUUUCUGCCCUUUUCUGUUCCUGCAUCGCAAGUGAUCGUGGGCUGCCCAUGCCCUGGUCACCAAUAGUGCAGGGACAGGAGUCGCUGGAAGCCUUUCCCCGUGUUUGGAGGGCCCAGUUGUCCCCUCCAAACCCUGGAGCUUUCACACACUAGCUUUUUGGUCCUGCCAUUUCCUUCAGCGCACGGGCCUUUGCCGGCCCACAUGUGAUAUGGUGACCGGGCUGGGCCCCGGACUUGUGGAGGUUCACUUUGUCUUUGAAGUAAAGGAGCCUCCGGACAGAAACCAGUCCAUACAUUUGUAUUUGGACCUCACACUGGAAUAAGUUCAGAUAAUGCUGAAGGGCACAUGGGAGAACUGUAAAUCGUGGGUUCUGCUCUAUGAACUUAACAGGAAUGGAGGACAACCCAUAAUACAUUAUUCAAGGCAGCCCAUGACCGACAUGCUUGUUUGUGUGUUGACUUUGCUCCUUUACUCUUUUGGGUUUUUUCCCUUUACUGUUUAUUUUUUUUCUUUUUUUUGCGGUACGCGGGCCUCUCACUGUUGUGGCCUCUCCCGUUGCAGAGCACAGGCUCCGGAUGCGCAGGCCCAGCGGCCAUGGCUCACGGGCUCAGCCGCUCCGCGGCAUGUGGGAUCUUCCUGGACCGGGGCACGAACCUGUGUCCCCUGCAUCGGCAGGCGGACUCUCAACCACUGCGCCACCAGGGGAGCCCCCCUUUACUGUUUCUUGAGCACAAUGUGUAUUGCUUCUCCAGGAGCAGCCAGUGGUGUCGAAAGAAAAAUAAAGGAUGUGGUGCGGCAGGAGGACUCUCCCGCCGUGUAGUCAGCCGUCAGCAGGGGGCUGCCCUUCUCCCUUUCUGCGCUGCAGAUGUGUUGGGUGGAGGCCGCAACUCUGCCCUGGCGCCUUCACUUAGUAGACUCUGCAGGGGCAACGUGGUGCUCCCAAGAGGCAUGUCUGGCUCCCAGACAAACAGGUCAGCGUUCGAUCUGGAGAUCGUUGAGGAAGUCCCAAGGCCAUGAGUCAGUGACUUUGGGGUGACUUGGGAUCUGGCAUUGCUGGUAUUUCUCCCCAAGAUUCCUUUUGUUCGUGGACACCAGCGGGGCAGAGAGUGGAGAGUGCAGUCCACACAUGAAGAGCUCCCCGCCGCCUGCUCAGAGUGUCAUGGGAGAACUGUUUACUCAGCA